AUUAUGACUAUUUAUAUAAGACUUUCACAGGAAUCAAACCACUAAACAAAAUAAACUCUAAUAAUAAAAGAAUAAAUGCCAGUAAUAAAAAGUACACUACAACAAUGCACAAAAACCCAAAUUGAAGAGCUGAUAAUAAAGAAAAAAGUGCGACUUACACU